UGGGGAAUUUUGCACAAUGGGGGAAACCCUGAUGCAGCGACGCCGCGUGAUUUAGAAGGCCUUCGGGUUGUAAAAAUCUUUUCUAUGGGAAGAAAAUGACAGUACCAUAGGAAUAAGGACCGGCUAAUUACGUGCCAGCAGCCGCGGUAAUACGUAAGGUCCGAGCGUUGUCCGGAAUCAUUGGGCGUACAGGGUACGUCGGCGGGUAAGCAAGUUCGAAGUAAAAUCCUAUAGCUCAACUAUAGUAAGCUUUUAAAACUGCUCAUCUUGAGGUAUGGAAGGGAAAGUGGAAGUCCUAUUGUAGCGGUGAAAUGCGCAAAUAUUAGGAGGAAUACCGGUGGCGAAGGCGACUUUCUGGCCAUAACCUGACGCUGAGGUACGAAAGCGUGGGUAGCAAACAGG
rnacentral:rRNA from 1 species